rnacentral:rRNA from 1 species
GCGAGUGAUAAGAUCCGUGGUCGAGAGGGGAACAGCCCAGACCGCCAGCUAAGGCCCCGAAGUGCACGUUCAGUGGAAAAGGAUGUGGAGUUGCCGAGACAACCAGGAUGUUGGCUUAGAAGCAGCCACCAUUUAAAGAGUGCGUAAUAGCUCACUGGUCGAGUGACUCUGCGCCGAAAAUGUACCGGGGCUAAACGUGCCGCCGAAGCUGCGGGAUGACCGUUGGUCAUCGGUAGGGGAGCGUUCUAAGGGCAGAGAAGCCAGACCGGAAGGACUGGUGGAGCGCUUAGAAGUGAGAAUGCCGGUAUGAGUAGCGAAAACAGAGGUGAGAAUCCUCUGCGCCGAAAGCCUAAGGGUUCCUGAGGAAGGUUCGUCCGCUCAGGGUUAGUCGGGACCUAAGCCGAGGCCGAAAGGCGUAGGUGAUGGACAACAGGUUGAGAUUCCUGUACCACCUUCUUCCCGUUUGAGCGAUGGGGGGACGCAGGAGGAUAGGGCGAGCAGGCGGCUGGAAGAGCCUGUCCAAGCCGUGAGGCUGAUCCGCAGGCAAAUCCGCGGAUCAUAAGGCUAAGCGGUGACGGCGACGGAUUGAUCCGGAAGUCCCCGAUUUCACACUGCCAAGAAAAGCCUCUAGCGAGGGAAGAGGUGCCCGUACCGCAAACCGACACAGGUAGGCGAGGAGAGAAUCCUAAGGCGCGCGGGAGAACUCUCGUUAAGGAACUCGGCAAAAUGACCCCGUAACUUCGGGAGAAGGGGUGCUCUUUGGGGUGAAGAGCCCUGAAGAGCCGCAGUGAAAAGGCCCAAGCGACUGUUUAUCAAAAACACAGGUCUCUGCGAAGCCGAAAGGCGACGUAUAGGGGCUGACACCUGCCCGGUGCUGGAAGGUUAAGGGGAGCGCUUAGCGGAAGCGAAGGUGCGAACCGAAGCCCCAGUAAACGGCGGCCGUAACUAUAACGGUCCUAAGGUAGCGAAAUUCCUUGUCGGGUAAGUUCCGACCCGCACGAAAGGUGUAACGACUUGGGCGCUGUCUCAACGAGAGACCCGGUGAAAUUAUACUACCUGUGAAGAUGCAGGUUACCCGCGACAGGACGGAAAGACCCCGUGGAGCUUUACUGCAGCCUGAUAUGGAAUUUUGGUAUCGCUUGUACAGGAUAGGUGGGAGCCUGGGAAGCCGGAGCGCCAGCUUCGGUGGAGGCGACGGUGGGAUACCACCCUGGCGGUAUUGAAAUUCUAACCCGCACCCCUUAGCGGGGUGGGAGACAGUGUCAGGUGGGCAGUUUGACUGGGGCGGUCGCCUCCCAAAAGGUAACGGAGGCGCCCAAAGGUUCCCUCAGAAUGGUUGGAAAUCAUUCGGAGAGUGCAAAGGCACAAGGGAGCUUGACUGCGAGACGGACAGGUCGAGCAGGGACGAAAGUCGGGCUUAGUGAUCCGGUGGUUCCGCAUGGAAGGGCCAUCGCUCAACGGAUAAAAGCUACCCCGGGGAUAACAGGCUGAUCUCCCCCAAGAGUCCACAUCGACGGGGAGGUUUGGCACCUCGAUGUCGGCUCAUCGCAUCCUGGGGCUGUAGUCGGUCCCAAGGGUUGGGCUGUUCGCCCAUUAAAGCGGUACGCGAGCUGGGUUCAGAACGUCGUGAGACAGUUCGGUCCCUAUCCGUCGCGGGCGGAGGAAAUUUGAGAGGAGCUGUCCUUAGUACGAGAGGACCGGGAUGGACGCACCGCUGGUGUACCAGUUGUCCCGCCAGGGGCACCGCUGGGUAGCUAUGUGCGGACGGGAUAAGCGCUGAAAGCAUCUAAGCGUGAAGCCCCCCUCAAGAUGAGAUUUCCCACCGCGCAAAGCGGGUAAGAUCCCUCGAAGAUGACGAGGUCGAUAGGUCCGAGGUGGAAGCGUGGCGACACGUGGAGCUGACGGAUACUAAUCGAUCGAGGGCUU